rnacentral:tRNA from 1 species
GGGAAUGUGGCUUAGUGGUAAAGUGCUUGUCUAGCAUUCAUGAAGACCUGGGUUCAAUUCCUCAGUACCA